rnacentral:rRNA from 1 species
AACGUAGGAGGCAAGCGUUAUCCGGAAUUACUGGGCGUAAAGGGCGUCUAGGCGGAUGAGCAAGCGCGAUGUGAAAGCUCCUGGCUCAACUGGGAGAGUGCGUAGCGAACUGCUUGACUAGAGGCCCAGGCGAUGGGGGGUGGAAUUCCCCGGUGGAGUGGUGAAAUGCGUAGAGAUCGGGAGGAACACCAGUGGCGCAAGCGGCCCCCCAAGCCUGAGCCUGACGCUGAAGCGCGACAAGCGUGGGGGAGCAAACGGG